GGAUUGACAUCCUGCGAACUUUCUUGAAAGAGAUUGGUGCCUUCGGGAACGCAGAGACAGGUGGUGCAUGGCUGUCGUCAGCUCGUGUCGUGAGAUGUUGGGUUAAGUCCCGCAACGAGCGCAACCCUCGUCCUUAGUUGCCAUCAUUAAGUUGGGCACUUUGAGGAGACUGCCGGUGACAAACCGGAGGAAGGUGGGGAUGACGUCAAGUCAUCAUGCCCCUUACAUCCUGGGCUACACACGUACUACAAUGCAACGGACAAAGGGCAGCCAGCUAGCGAUAGUGAGCUAAUCCCAUAAACCGUUGCUCAGUUCAGAUUGCAGGCUGCAACUCGCCUGCAUGAAGGCGGAAUCGCUAGUAAUCGCAGGUCAGCAUACUGCGGUGAAUACGUUCCCGG
rnacentral:rRNA from 1 species